CCCUACGGGGUGCAGCAGGCGCGAAAACUUUACAAUGCGGGAAACCGUGAUAAGGGGACACCGAGUGCUAGCAUCAUAUGCUGGCUGUCCAGGUGUGUAAAAUACACCUGUUAGCAAGGGCCGGGCAAGACCGGUGCCAGCCGCCGCGGUAACACCGGCGGCCCGAGUGGUGAUCGUGAUUAUUGGGUCUAAAGGGUCCGUAGCCGGUUUGGUCAGUCCUCCGGGAAAUCUGAUAGCUCAACUAUUAGGCUUUCGGGGGAUACUGCCAGACUUGGAACCGGGAGAGGUAAGAGGUACUACAGGGGUAGGAGUGAAAUCUUGUAAUCCCUGUGGGACCACCUGUGGCGAAGGCGUCUUACCAGAACGGGUUCGACGGUGAGGGACGAAAGCUGGGGGCACGAACCGGAUUAGAUACCCGGGUAGUCCCAGCCGUAAACGAUGCUCGCUAGGUGUCAGGCAUGGCGCGACCGUGUCUGGUGCCGCAGGGAAGCCGUGAAGCGAGCCACCUGGGAAGUACGGCCGCAAGGCUGAAACUUAAAGGAAUUGGCGGGGGAGCACAACAACGGGUGGAGCCUGCGGUUUAAUUGGACUCAACGCCGGACAACUCACCGGGGACGACAGCAAUAUGUAGGUCAGGCUGAAGACCUUACCUGAAUCGCUGAGAGGAGGUGCAUGGCCGUCGCCAGUUCGUACUGUGAAGCAUCCUGUUAAGUCAGGCAACGAGCGAGACCC
rnacentral:rRNA from 1 species